GACGUAGGGCGCAAGCGUUGUCCGGAUUUAUUGGGCGUAAAGAGCUCGUAGGCGGCUUGUCGCGUCGACUGUGAAAACUCACGGCUCAACCGUGGAACUGCAGUCGAUACGGGCAGGCUAGAGUUCGGUAGGGGAGACUGGAAUUCCUGGUGUAGCGGUGAAAUGCGCAGAUAUCAGGAGGAACACCGGUGGCGAAGGCGGGUCUCUGGGCCGAAACUGACGCUGAGGAGCGAAAGCGUGGGGAGCGAACAGG
rnacentral:rRNA from 1 species